rnacentral:rRNA from 1 species
UGGGUAACCUGCCCGGAUGUGUGGAAUACCUCGGGGAAACUCGAGCUAAUACCGCAUGACAUUUUCGGGACGAAAGUCCUGAUGAUCAAAGCGGGGUCGCAAGAUCUCGCGCUUCCGGAUGGGCCCGCGCCCGAUUAGCUAGUUGGCGAGGUAAUGGCUCACCAAGGCGACGAUCGGUAGCCGGCCUGAGAGGGUGAUCGGCCACACCGGAACUGAGACACGGUCCGGACUCCUAGGGAGG